ensembl:lncRNA
AAUAUCAAAAACAAAUCUUGCUUGUCAAGCACUUUGAACUACAAGUGAUUUGCACAUAUUUGAUGCACAUUUAAUUGGUGAUUUGAACAAACUCUCUAAGACUAAUUAUUAAAAUAUAGCACUGACACAUGAAGACAAAUAAACUCACAUUUCCUUCUGUAACUGAAUACAUUUUUAGUGAACCUGUAGAAUAGAAUAGAAUAGAAUAGAAUAGAAUAGAAUAGAAUAGAAUAGAAUAGAAUAGAAUAGAAUAGAGCUCAGCUUCUCCAGUGUCUCGCCCAGGUGAGCGCGUCACCUGAUCUUCCGUCUUUCACUCAUCUACGCUGCUGGCGACGCGACAGUUUUGAACCCAUUAUAGUCAACGACGUGAGUGACGUAGGCACCCAAUGGACCAAUCAGAAGGCUCUCAUUAUAAUCAGCGGAGCGCAGCCCGCUCACACGCGUCGCUGAUUAUCAAGGGAGUGCUGGAGUUUGUCGCGUCGCGUCGCUCGCUUGUAGCGUAUCAUGUGAUAGGGGCUGGAAUUUGACACCUCGGGGGUUCAAAACUCUCAUGUGUUUAUGGGACUUGAUUUUGGCAGUGCUCCUGCGUUUAGAGCAGAGAGCGCGUCUCGAGGAGCUGAACGCGUCCGAUCGAGCGUUUACUGCGCAUCUGGGUCAGUCCAGACAACACCAGUGAGCUCUGGACACAAGUUUACGUGAAAGACGUGGAUGUUCAGAAUUAUGCAUCUUCACUACAGGGAGAGGGCUAAAGGAAACAUUUUAAGGAAUACAUUUUCAUUAUCUGUGGAUUAUUUUCACUUGACUGUUUCUUAAUUUAUUUCACUCAAGUCCAUGACAGGAGAGGUCGAUCAGGACAGAAAGGAUGGAAAAGGGUGGAGGAGUCUGGAGACCUGCAUGGCUGCACCUGCCCGAUGUCACCUGAGGAACCGGAAGGUGAUGCUGCUUGUGUUUGUGUGUCUUCUGGGUCUCGUUGAUGGACAUUUCCUUCAGGAGGAGAAAGAAGAAUCCCGUCCUAGCAAGCUGAGAGCCUCUUCAACCUCUCCAAAACAUCCAGAACCAAAGAAAGAUCUAGAUGAGAGGCAGAGCCGAGCGCCAUGGGCACGACUGCACGGUCAGUACAUCCCUGACACUGUAUAACAAACCGGGGCUAGUUGUCACACUUUCUGCUUCAGUGAAUGAGCAAUGAGUGAUUGAAUUCUAAGAUGUUAAAGCUGUGAAAUAUGUUCAUUAUUAUUAUUAUUAUUAUUAUUAUUAUUAUUAUUGGCUCUGAAAAAAAAAAAAAAAAAUAUAUAUAUAUAUAUAUAUAUAUAUAUAUAUAUAUAUAUAUAUAUAUAUAUAUAUAUAUAUAUAUAUAUAUAUAUAUAUAUAUGAUAAUGCAAAAAAUAAAUAAAUUCAAUUUUGGCUGGAAUGCAGCUUUAUAUAAAUAAUGCAAUUUAUUCAAUUUAGAGUAAAGUUAGUGUCAUUAUCCAGCUCAAUUCAGUUCAGAUUUUGUUCUCAUUGGAUAGUGUCAGUCAAGUUAAAAUAAUAAUAUUACUAUAUUAAUUGUCUUUAAACCCCAGGACAAAAUGUAUCCUAAUUCCUAAUUUAUGACUGAGCUGUUUCAGAUGAACAGAUGAAGGUCUCAGUAAAGGUCUCAGUUACUGUAUGAUUCAUUAACUAUCAAUUUCGUCACGUUUUCUCAUUAUUCUUGCUUCACGGUGGAUUGCAGACUUAUAAGAGCAUUACUGCCACCCAUCUCUCAAGUGGACCAUUGAUACUCCCAAUUGAGACUGUAGAUUUUUGGAUGAACUAUCUCUUUUAGUUAUUAUUAAGUUUCUGUCUAACCUGUCAGAGCUUUGAAUACUUUGAGAAUAAUGUUGUACACUUGCUGUUACCUCAGACACUUCACAAAGAUCUAAUGGGUGAAUGCACGAAAACUGUCAAAAAUAUGUCCAGAUCAUAUUUAACCCGAUGUAAUAAUAUAUAUAUAAUCCAGUAUUUUAGAAAAAAAAAAAAACACUGCCAAACAUCAAUAGUUCUAGGUUUGGUUCUAUCAAUCUGUGCCCCCAAGAAGACUACGGAUCCAAUCUGUUUUAAACACUUGCACAUUUUAUUAAAUCUUUUCUGCUCAACUGCAGUAGGUCUAGGUCUGUGUAUUCAUGUUCAAUGCUGGCAAAUCAAAUCCUGCUCAAAAUACUGCUUUUAUGGUUUAGAAUGAUUUAGGUUAAGUCUAACCUGCAAAUGACAUUUUCAUAACAUUGUAUACAGAAUAUGUAUAACAUUUUAUUACUUAAGGUGAAAACAGUAGAAAAUCAGUAAAAAAAACCAGUAAAGAAAUCUUAGAAUAAUUUAGGAGCGUUCCAGUAAAGAGAAGUUGGGGGUUAUUGUUCUUAAAUGUGAUUACAAUUAAUGUCUCAAUGAAAUAUAAAUAGGACUCACUUUCUUGAUGCAAAAUAUGAUUUCUUCUUUCCUUCUGGUUUUUAGGAUGAAAUGUGGAUGUUUAUGUGACAUUCAACCUUCAACACUUUUUUUUUUGGUAUUUAUAGGGAACAUCUUUGUUGAAAUCUAAAAUGAUGUUCUUCUCAUCCUGUAAUUCUGUGUUAUGUCACAGUGACACAUUGCUUCAAGGCAAAUUCCUUGCAAAAUAUUCUAAUUUUCAUUAUGUUGACUGGAAAUAAAAUAUCUGUGCACAUAAUAAUGUAGAAACAAGUGGAAUGCAAACUUACCAUUAGUAUCUCUUGUGAGGACCAAUACAGUCUUAAGAUAUAGAAAUAUUUUCUCAGUAAUUAAUUCUUUGUAAGGCAGUUCUGAAAUAUAAUGCCGGCAUGUCCAUGUACUUUGUUGUAUGCAGUAUGAUAAACAUGAUCAGCAAUGGUUGAGCCACAAGCAGACAUGUUGAGCAAACAAACAUAGCCGUGUUUUUACAGAGCUACAGCCUCACAGUGUUUACACUCUUCAGGAAGUCAACCGUGAUAUUGACCAUUCUUCUGCCACUGAAUUAGACCCUGUUUUCAAAAACACUGCCAUCAAUGGAUGCUGACUGGCCGUUAAAAUACGCAAACAGCUAAAACGCAUAAUAUAUUAACAGAUGUGACAUGACAGCUACUGCUGGAGGUCUGCAAAGAAGAUACAUAAAACAAAGUUUAAAAAAUGUUUUUGAAAGAUGUCUUUUCUGCUCCCCAAGACUGCAUGUAUUUGAUCAAAAAUACGGUAAAAACUGUAAUAUUGCGAAAUAUUAUUACAAUUUAAAAUAGCUGUCUUCAGUGUGCAUAUAUUUUACAGUGUAAUUUAUUGCUGUGAUGCACAUAAGGAAUACUUUGUCUCUAAACCUUAAGAAAACCGGUAGUAUCUAUCAAGUAGUAGGACCAUUUUCUGUGUGAUAUUGUAAAAAUAUAUAUAUAUAUACACAUUACAGCAUCAACUGGGAUAAGACACUGAUGAGACACACAGAUGUUAUUCACACCCAGUGCAUUUGACAUGUUUUCUCUGGCUCAUGCAUGCGAUAGAAUAAUCUCAGCACGCUCUUCCUUAUCAAUUUUAUAUUCCUCUUCAAAUAAUCCAGAGCUCCUUCAUGCAGGUUUUGACACAGCAAACUGCUCCCUUGGAAGAUAAUUACUGCAGUUUUCGCCUGGAGAAAGUUUGAAUCAUGUUCUAAGGUUCUCCUUUCCUUGUGACUUUAAACAAAACUCUAUAAGCAUGAUGUGGCAUGUUGUGGGAUGUUUUUAGUGCUGCAUGCUGCAGUUGCAUGAGUUACAGUACAAUAGUAGUCCAGUGCGGUGUCAGUAAGGUGCACUGCAAACAGCAGGAGGAAUUUCACGCCGUGGAGAGACGUGCACACAUUACAAUCAGCUGCUGAGGCGUGAACCAGAGCCACUAGUGUUAUCACCUUUUUAAAUGCCAGUGUUACAUUACAGUGUUGGCAGGAAUUGAGACUAUUUUAAUGCAUCAGAGCCACAUGCCAGAAUCUGUAUUCUCUGGGGAAAUAGAUCAACCCAAAAUCUUUUACUCAUGUCAGCGUCAUUCCAACCAUGACUUUCUAUCUGUGAAACACAAAAGGUGGUUUUUUUGUGUAGAAAAUGGCCACUGUUUUCCAUAUAAUGAAAGUGGAUGCUUCAAAAAAGCAAAAUAGCAUGAAACUGUGAUACUGUAAGUAGCCAAUGUACAGGUGCAUCUCAAUAAAUUAGAAUGUCGUGAAAAAGUUCAUUUAUUUCGGUAAUUCAACUCAAAUUGUGAAACUCAUGUAUUAAAUAAACUCAAUGCACACAGACUGAAGUAGUUUAAGUCUUUGAUUCUUUUAAUUGUGAUGAUUUUGGCUCACAUUCAACAAAAACCCAACAAUUCACUAUCUCAACAAAUUAGAAUCAGCUAAUCAACUCAAAACACCUGCAAAGUUUUCCUGAGUCUUCAGAAUGGUCUCUCAGUUUUGUUCACUAGACUACAUAAUCACGGGGAAGACUGUUGAUCUGACAGUUGUCCAGAAGACAAUCAUUGACACCCUUCACAAGUAGGGUAAGCCACAAAAAUUAAUUACCAAAGAAGCUGGCUGUUCACAGAGUGCUGUAUCCAAGCAUGUUUAACAGAAAGUUGAAUGGAAGGAAAAAGUGUGGAAGAAAAAGAUGCACAACCAACCGAGAGAACCGCAGCCUUAUGAGGAGUGUCAACCAAAUCCAUUCAAGAAUUUGAGUGAACAUCACAAAGAAUGGACUGAGGCUGGGGUCAAGGCAUCAAGAGUCACCACACACAGACAUUUCCAUGAAUUUGCUGAACUACAGACAACGUCAGAGGCUUCUUACCUGGACUAAGAUGUUGACCAGUGGUCCAAAGUCCUCUUUUCAGAUGAGAUCAAGUUUUGUGUUUCAUUUGGAAACCAAGGUCCUAGAGUCUGGAGGAAGGGCGGAGAAGCUGAUAGCCCAAGUAGCUUGAAGUCCAGUGUCCACAGUCUGUGAUGAUUCGGGCUGCCAUGUCAUCUGCUGGUGUUGGUCCAUUGUGUUUUUUGAAAAAGUCAAACACAAAGUCACUGCAGCCAUUUACCAAGAACUUUUGGAGCACUUCAUGCUUCCUUCUGCUGACCAGCAUUUUGAAGAUGCUGAUUUCAUUUUCCAGCAGGAUUUGGCACCUGCGCACACUACCAAAAGCACCAAACAUUGGUUAAAUGACCAUGGUGUUGGUGUGCUUGACUGGCCAGCAAACUCACCAGACCUGAACCCCAGAGAGAAUCCAUGGGCUAUUGUCAAGAGCAAAAUGAGAAACAAGAGACCAAACAAUGCAGAUGAGCUGAAGACCACUGUCAAAGAAACCUGGGCUUCCAGACUACCUCAGCAGUGCCACAAACUGAUCACCUCCACGCCACGCUGAACUGAGGCAGUAAUUAAUGCAAAAGUAGCCCCUUUCAGUUAUUGAGUAC